rnacentral:ncRNA from 1 species
UAAAAGUUUUAUUUUAACUUAAAAAUUAGAUAUUAUUUUUUAUUAUAUGUAAAUUGUAUUUAAGAAGAGAAUUUUCAGUAGUUAAAUUUAUAUAUUAAAGAAAUUUAGAUUUAGAAAUAAUAAUUAAUAUUAACAAAAUUUGUGCCAGCAGUUGCGGUUAUACAAAUAAUAUUAUUUAAUUUUAUUAAUAAAAAUUAAUUUAAUUAUUAAAAUUUAAUUUUAAAAUUUAUUAGGUAAAAUUUUAAAUUUUAAUUAUAUUUAUAUUAUUAAAUGAAGUUUAGAAAUUUAAAAUAUAAACUAGGAUUAGAUACCCUAUUAUUUUAAAUGUAAUUUUAUUAUUAAAUUAUUAAUAGCUAUGUUCUUUAAAAUUAAAAAAUUUGGCGGUAUUUUAGUCUUUUCAGAGGAACCUGUUCUAUAAAUGAUAUUCCACGAUUUAAUUUACUUUUAUUUUUAAUUUGUAUAUCGUCGUAAUUAAGUAUUUCUUUAGAAUUUUAAAUAUUUAAGAUUUUUAAUUAAAAAAUUAGUCAGAUCAAGGUGCAAUUUAUAUAAAAGUAGAAAUGGGUUACAUUAAAAAUAUUUUUGGAUAAUUUUUAUUAUAAAAAUUUAAAUUUGGAUUUGAAAGUAAAUUUAAUUAAUUAAUUAAUUUGAUUUUGGCUCUAAAAUAUGUACAUAUCGCCCGUCGCUUUCAUUUAAUAUGAAAUAAGUCGUAACAAAGUAGAUUUACUGGAAAGUGAAUCUAGAUUAAU